rnacentral:SRP_RNA from 14 species
CUUUUGAAGGUGCAGGUGAAGCACCUUCAGCCGGUCAUGUCGAGGAUCGAAGCGGUGCCUUUCAGGCCCAGGAGCAGCCGGAUCCUGAUCAUCGGUGGCUUCGACGGGAAGCGGUCAGUGGAGGAGGUUGAGGAG